rnacentral:rRNA from 1 species
CCAGUAGUGUAUGCUUCUCCUAAAGACUAAGCCAUGCAUGCCUUCGAAUAAGAGGAAGCAAUUCUCUCCGAAUCUGCGAACGGCUCCGCAAACCAGUUGUAAACUAUAGCAAGCAUACCCCCGGUCUCCGGACUGGGGGUUAUAAGGAUAACCCUGGUAAUUCUGAGGCUAAUACUUGAGCGUACCACCUGGCCAACCGGAAACGGRAAGCUGGGGGACGUGUGUUGGUUCGCAAGGUUAACUGGGAAAGGAUGCACGUUUAGACCACCAUAAAAACGGUAUCGGGCGACAACCACUCACGUGGGGAAACCUGUGUCCGGGUGGCUCUUGCUUUGUGCUUCUGACCUAUCAACUAGAUGGCAGCGUAAGGGACAUGCUAUGGUUACAACGGGUACAGAGGAUAAGGGUUCGAUCCUGGAGAGUGGGCCUGAGAGAUUGCUCACACUUCUAAGGAAGGCAGCAGGCGCGCAACGUUCCCAUUGGGCAAUGCCCGAGGGCGUUAGGGGACAUAUGAAUGCCUGUCAAUUGAUGGGCAAUUCAA